CAGCUUGUAAAAUGUUGCACCCCACGGCUUCAAUCAAAAGAUAUACCCACCAACCAGGGGCCACAGAACCACAUGGGUCCCUGAAGCCACUCAGCCAUGUCAUGAAGAAAAGUCAUUCUGCUUCCAGCAGGACUUACUGACCUCCGCCUGGAUAAGCAGAGAGAGAUCGAAGAAGAAAAGGUGUGAAGGUUAAGGAGCGUCCAUCAUGUUUGUCUAGUUUCUGAUGAAUCCUGAGGGGAAACAGCCCCUGAGUACUGUUGUUUGUAGUAUUGUGGCGUGUUUCUCCCUUUUAUAAAGGAGGGGGGUGCACUCAGCUCAAUUGUAUCUCGGCUGCAGAUAAGGAGGAACAUUAUUGGGAACUGAGGGAGAGAAACCCAAAAGAUUUUAGAAGAAAGAAGAACAAAACAAGCAAGAGAAACAGUAAAGAUUCAGAAAGGUGGGAGAGUAAAAAAUAUGCAAUAUGAACAGUGAAGUAAAGAGAUAGUAAAAGAGACAGAGAGAGGCAGCAACACUUCUUUCCAUGUUGCAUGUGAGGGAAGAAGAGACGGUUGAGAAACAAGACUUUGUGGUUUCCCUGAUCUAAAUAUAAAUA